UUAAACUUAUCUAUAGGUUCUAAUGUGG
rnacentral:sRNA from 1 species